AUUGAACGCUGGCGGCAUGCUUUACACAUGUAAGUCGAACGGCAGCGCGGGCUUCGGCCUGGCGGCGCGUGGAGAACGGGUGAGUAAUGCAUCGGAACGUGCCCAGUUGUGGGGGAUAACCCGGCGACAGGCGGAUUAAUACCGCAUACGACCUGAGGGUGCAAGCGGGGGACCGAAAGGCCUCGCGCUCUUGGCGUCGCCGAUGUCGGAUUAGACAGAUAGUAGGGUAAAGGCAUACCAAGGCGACGAAACGUUGCUGGUCUGAGAGGACGACCAGCCACCCGGAGACUGAGCCACGGCCCAGACUCCAACGAGAGGCAGCAGUGGGGAAUUUUGGACAAUGGGGGCAAGCCUGAUCCAGCCAUGCCGCGUGAGGGAAGAAGGCCUUCGGGUUGUAAACCGCUUUUGUUCGGGAAGAAAUCCUCUGGGCUAAUACCCCGGGGGGAUGACGGUACCGGAAGAAUAAGCAACGGCUAACUACGUG
rnacentral:rRNA from 1 species